UACGUAGGGUCCGAGCGUUGUCCGGAAUUAUUGGGCGUAAAGAGCUCGUAGGCGGUUUGUCGCGUCUGCUGUGAAAUCCCGAGGCUCAACCUCGGGUCUGCAGUGGGUACGGGCAGACUGGGAGUGCGGUAGGGGAGAAUGGAAUUCCUGGUGUAGCGGUGGAAUGCGCAGAUAUCAAGAGGAACACCGAUGGCGAAGGCAGUUCUCUGGGCCGUAACUGACGCUGAGGAGCGAAAGCGUGGGGAGCGAACAGG
rnacentral:rRNA from 1 species